AUGAUUUCUUCCUUUUCACUCUUGUGUAACAGUCUGCAAGCCCUGAUUUUUAUACUAAAUACAUGCUCUCAAGUUUAUAAGCUAAAGCUAUCAGCAAUGCUGUCCCUACAAGGGUUUAAGGAUGAACCUCACACAACUUGCAGUUAUUUUACUACUGUAGACAAGUUCCCUGUUAAAAAUCAGUUUGUCUCCUACUGCUUACAUGAAAACCAAGUCCAUGUUAUAAACCUUCUAGUAUCUCAUCUGUGCUGCAACACUUGGUGUCACAGUGUUUUUCAGCAGGUGUUACUGGAUGCUAUGCACAUAAACACUAGCCACACUGGUGUUAAAACACUUUUUACUGAGCUUGCGUCCAGAGGCAAAAAAAAAAAAAAAAAAAAAGAGGAAAACAAACGAAAAACCAAACCAAACACAAAAAACCAAACCAACAUCCCCAAACAAAGAAAAAAAACAAUAAAGAAGUUUUCAGAUACUAAAACAUGGGGGAAUAAAAGGACUUCCCUGGAAAUGUUUCUGGCAGCAGUGUCACCGCUGUAUCGCUGUGCCCAGUGGGAGAUGCUUCCUUACACCUGCCUGGUGCCAGCCUCAUGGAAGUGGCCCUGCCGGCCGUGUUCAACAAAACCUGUGGCAGAGAUGCAAAGGCAGCAGCUCUCCCAGGCAGGAGGAACGGGCUCGGGCUGCCGGGGGGCACCCAGGGCCAGAGACCACCGGGAGCCGCCUCAACAACCUGAUCCGAGCAGGAGCCCACACCGGGAGCACAGAGACAGGGCUAGGGCUGCCAAAACCCGCCAUUCGUGUCUCUUUGCCUCCAGACUUAGUUUUUCCUUCGUUCUGCCAGCUGCCUGCUUUAAGUCCCUCCGGGUUAAAUUACACCAGGCUCAGCGUGCUGCCACUAUCUCCGGCCCGACAGCACUCGGAGUAAAUCCUUGGACAAACACUGGCCAACGUAGCGGCUCCGGCGGUGCAGCACGGGCCCAGAGCAGCCACACAUCGCCUCCAGGCGCUGCCGGCCCCGUCCCGGGGGUGAUGCGGGGCAGCCCCGGCAGACCCCGCCCCGCCCCGGGCCCGGCGGGAGGCGCGGCCCGGCCCGGCCCGGCCGCCAAUGAGCGCGGCGGGGCGGGCACGCCCGCGGCCGGGAUAAGAGGGGCCUCGGAGGCCGAGCGUCGUUGA
rnacentral:lncRNA from 1 species